ACUACGGGAGGCAGCAGUGGGGAAUAUUGGGCAAUGGGCGCAAGCCUGACCCAGCAACGCCGCGUGAAGGAAGAAGGCUUUCGGGUUGUAAACUUCUUUCGUCAGGGAAGAGUAGAAGACGGUACCUGACGAAGAAGCCACGGCUAACUACUGGCCAGCAUCCGCGGUCAGACGGAGGUGGGAAGCGUUGUCCGGAUUUACGGGGUGUAAAGGGUGUGUAGCCGGGUUGACAAGUCAGAUGUGAAAUCCUGCGGCUUAACCGCAGAACUGCAUUUGAAACUGUUGAUCUUGAGUACUGGAGAGGCAGACGGAAUUCCUAGUGUAGCGGUGAAAUGCGUAGAUAUUAGGAGGAACACCAGUGGCGAAGGCGGUCUGCUGGACAGCAACUGACGGUGAGGCGCGAAAGCGUGGGGAGCAAACAGGAUUAGAUACCCUUGUAGUC
rnacentral:rRNA from 1 species